UCCCCUCUCCCUCCCUGACACGCUUCUCCUCCCCCACACUCAGAACCCUCUGGCCUCUCCUGCCAGUUGGCCCUGGCCAGACUGCUCGUGGAGACCAUGCCAGGCCGGGCCCACUCCAAUGAGCACAGACUCCCUGGCCUGGCCGGCCUACUCCAGCGGCACUCCAGGCUCCAUCGUCCAUCUCGGCGCGGCUCCCAGGUCUACAGCCAGCAGCUCCAGUGGGACCACCAGGACAGAUGCCAGCCUGUGAGCGGGAGAGGGCAGCACACACGGGCAGGAGCUGGGAAGAGCCGCAGACCCUCUCCUGCCCAGCAAGAGGACGAGGCUCUCUCUUCAUGGACCCCCUGUCCAGCCCUGGAGGAGGCUGACUGUGCUGGUGAUCAGAUGGCCACACGGCUAGGGCCCCAGGCCCAGGGAUAGCCCUGACACUGCCCUGCCCAACUCUGGGAGCAGCGACCACUUCCCACCUGUUGUGGCCCCACCUACCAGGCCGGGCUCCAGUGCUCAGAGUUCCAGAGGGGAGUUGCAGGGCCCACUCCUGGCCUCAGCGCCCCGGCUGGGACGGGCCACCACGCCUCAUCACUCUGCCCCAGAGGAUUGGCUGGUAAGACAGUGUGAGGACUUGGGGGUCUAGUGGAGGCGGGAGUAUGUGCUUCUGAUGCCUGACCCCACCCAGCACUCUCCAUGCCCUCAGUGGAAGUCCAGGCAAGUCCCAGGGGCUGUGGCCCCUGAAAAGUCUGCUGUCCAUCAGCUGAAGUUCAUUGGCCAGGGGAGGCCCCACCACCCUUGGGCACGGCCGCUCCCUCACGCACAGAGGCCUGGCAGAGGCUGGGCAUUGGGUGCUAUAGGGGACAGCCCACCUUCUUCACCCCAGAACCCCGGUCCUGCCCAAACACAGGCCCCUGGGGUCUGAGCGCGCCCCAUCCUCACUGAACAGCGCCUCCCACCCGUGGGGCGGUGGCAGAAGCCCAUGUGGUCAUCUCGUUGGGCCUGACCGCCCACCAGGAAGCCGAGGUUGAGGCUCUGCCUGGACCCGCACUCGGGUUUGCUUUGAUGAUUCUGGAAAGUAGGGGGUUUCCAGGUCAUGUGUGUGCGGAGAUGUCACUACCGAGAAGCCCGCUAAGCUCCUGCCUACAGGGUGCCCAGCGUGGGCAGACCUCUACCCCACCACCUGGGAGGCCCACAGCCGUGUGCGGCCUUGACUCUGGACUUCCUUCCUUUGUGACUAAAUGGCAUUGACUUAGAAUUAAGUGCCCAAGGACGCCGCCUGAUGCUGGGAGACACAGCAGCUGCUUCUGUUCCCAGCACUUUCUUUUUCCAAAAUGGAAACAUUAUUUUCAUUGUUUUUC